GUAGGGAAUCUUCCACAAUGGGCGCAAGCCUGAUGGAGCAACACCGCGUGAGUGAAGAAGGGUUUCGGCUCGUAAAGCUCUGUUGUUAAAGAAGAACACGUAUGAGAGUAACUGUUCAUGCGUUGACGGUAUUUAACCAGAAAGUCACGGCUAACUACGUGCCAGCAGCCGCGGGAAUACGGAGGUGGCAAGCGUUAUCCGGAUUUAUUGGGCGUAAAGAGAGUGCAGGCGGUUUUCUAAGUCUGAUGUGAAAGCCUUCGGCUUAACCGGAGAAGUGCAUCGGAAACUGGAUAACUUGAGUGCAGAAGAGGGUAGUGGAACUCCAUGUGUAGCGGUGGAAUGCGUAGAUAUAUGGAAGAACACCAGUGGCGAAGGCGGCUACCUGGUCUGCAACUGACGCUGAGACUCGAAAGCAUGGGUAGCGAACAGGAUUAGAUACCCCGGUAGUCC
rnacentral:rRNA from 1 species